rnacentral:lncRNA from 1 species
CUGUAUUUGUUGAUAAAAUUGAGAAGCUGACACUUGAGAACAUCUUUCUGAGGCAAAAUCCUCUCUGGGGCAGUCAGCCGUGUUGGGGCUGUGAGUACCAUUGGUGUCAUGGGGACCCAGACAUCUUCUCUUCUGAUCAAGUAAAUCUAGAAGAUUCCCUCCAUUCUCCACGUUUCUCUGGGUGAUGCAGAUGAAUCUCUGGAAGAGAUAACCUUAAGAGAUACAUAGCACAAAACUUUAGACAUUAAUUCACAUGGUACUUUUCUAAUUGAAAAUACGUAGUUGUGGUGAUGUCACCACAAUCAGACUAUGACCCAACUAUAGAGACACAGAAUAGGACACACGCAAAACUAUCACUGUAGCAAAGCAGAAGAGGGAUCUGACUUUCGCUGCACUGGACUGUGCAUCUACAGAGCACAUAACUAUGCAUUGUGCUUCUCCUGUGAUCGAGCUACAGGAUCAAGAGAAUGAAACAUGAUAUUUGACUCUCGAAAUCAGCAGUGAAAAGCAAUGCUUCUGAUAAGUGAGUGCAAAGACUCUGUGGGGUUGCAUAUUUGAAAGGAGGACAAGUCUCCAGAGGAUACACUCCCACAAGG